CGGGCUAUCUUCGGAUAGCAAGUCGCGAACGGCUGAGUAACGCGUAGGAAUCUACCCUUUGGUGUGGAAUAGCCUUCCGAAAGGAUGGUUAAUACCGCACAAGAUCUCCGGAUGAAAGGAUUUAUCCGCCGAAGGAGGAGCCUGCGUCCCAUCAGCUUGUUGGUAGGGUAAUGGCCUACCAAGGCAACGACGGGUAGGGGACGUGAGAGCGUGACCCCCCAGAAUGGUACUGAGACACGGACCAUACACCUACGGGUGGCAGCAACUGGGAAUCGUGCGCAAUGGACGAAAGUCUGACGCCGCGACGCCGCGUGUGGGAUGAAGGCCUUCGGGUCGUAAACCACUUUUGCCAACAGGGAGACCUCUUGGAGAAUAAGCACCGGCUAACUACGUGCCAGCAGCAGCGGUAAUACGUAGGGUGCAAGCGUUGUCCGGAUUUAUUGGGCGUAAAGGGUUCGUAGGCGGCUUGGUAAGUUAUGUCUCAAAGACCGGGGCUUAACCUCGGAUAGGGAUGUAAUACUGCCAGGCUUGAAGAAUGUCGGGGUUACUGGAACUUACUGUGUAGGAGUGAAAUCCGUUGAUAUAGUAAGGAAUACCAAGGGCGAAGGCAGGUAACUAGGCAUUUCUUGACGCUCAGGAACGACAGCUAGGGUAGCGAAAGGGAUUAGAGACCCCUGUAGUCCUAGCCGUAAACGCUGCUCGCUAGGGAUUUGGAGUCAAUUUAUUGGCACUGAGUCCCGUAAGCUAACGCGUUAAGCGAGCCGCCUGGGGAGUACGAUCGCAAGAUUAAAACUCAAAGGAAUUGACGGGGACCCGCACAACCAGUGGAGCAUGUGGUUUAAUUCGAGACGAACCGAAGAACCUUACCUGGGCUUGACAUGCUAUUCUUAAUGCCCUCUGGAAACAGAGUGGAAGUCUACAUUUGUGGACAGGGUAGCACAGGUGUUGCAUGGCUGUCGUCAGCUCGUGCCGUGGGGUGUUCCCUUCAGUGGGGUAACGAGCGCAACCCCUGUUGUAUGUUAAAUUUUCAUACAAGACUGCCAGGUUUUAUCCUGGAGGAAGUGGGGACGACGUCAAGUCAGCAUGGCCCUUAUGUCCAGGGCUACACACAUGCUACAAUGGCCGUCACAAUGGGUAGCCAAGUCGUAAGGCGGAGCUAAUCCCAUCAAAGACGGUCUCAGUUGGGAUUGAGGGCUGCAACCCGCCCUCAUGAACGUGGAAUUGGUAGUAAUCGCGUAUCAGCAUGACGCGGUGAAUACGUUCCCGGGCCUUGUACACACCGCCCGUCACACCACGGGAGUCGAUUGUACCUGAAAUCGGUGGGCUAACCUUCGGGAGGCAG
rnacentral:rRNA from 1 species